GUCCUUUUGUGGUCCAUAGCCUUGAUGCUUGGGUUUUCAUGCUACUGUGUGACUGGCCAUUCUGAGACCUUGUUACCUUGUUGAUAUAUUACCAGUCUCAAA